rnacentral:rRNA from 1 species
GAUGAACGCUGGCGGCGUGCCUAAUACAUGCAAGUCGAGCUAAGCGGGGACGGGUGAGUAACACGUCUAUAACCUCCUAUUCCACUGGGAUAACUUCUGGAAACCGUUGCUAACCCGGCUUCUUAUUGAUGGUUCCUCGCUGCUUGAGCGAGUUGGUAAGGUAACGGCUUACCAAGGCAACGAUGGAUAGCCGACCUGAGAGGGUGAUCGGCAACACUGGAACUGAGACACGGUCCGGACUCCUCCGAGAGGCAGCAGUAGGGAAUCUUCCGCAAUGGGCGAAAGCCUGACGUAGCAACGCCGCGUGAGUGAUGAAGGUCUGCGGAUCGUAAAACUCUGUUAUUAGGGAAGCGGUAGAUAAAGAGAAAGGGACGGCUAACUACGUGCCAGCAGCCGCGGUAAAUA